rnacentral:rRNA from 1 species
AAUUUUGGACAUUGGGGGCAACCCUGACCCAGCCAUCCCGCGUGUUCGAUGAAGGCCUUCGAUAUGAAAAGCACUUUUCGUAGGGAAGAAAUAGCUACGGCUAAUAUUCGGACUUACUGACGGUCCCUGCAGAAUAAGCUUCGGCUAACUCCGUGCCCUCAGCCGCGGUAAUACGUAGGGCGCAAGCGUUAAUCGGAAUUACUGGGCGUAAAGCGUGCGCAGGCGGUUCGGAAAGAAAGAUGUGAAAUCCCAGGGCUUAACCUUGGAACUGCAUUUUUAACUACCGAGCUAGAGUAUGUCAGAGGGGGGUAGAAUUCCACGUGUAGCAGUGAAAUGCGUAGAGAUGUGGAGGAAUACCGAUGGCGAAGGCAGCCCCCUGGGAUAAUACUGACGCUCAUGCACGAAAGCGUGGGGAGCAAAC